rnacentral:rRNA from 1 species
GAUGAACGCUGGCGGCGUGCCUAAUACAUGCAAGUCGAGCGAACGGACGAGAAGCUUGCUUCUCUGAUGUUAGCGGCGGACGGGUGAGUAACACGUGGAUAACCUACCUAUAAGACUGGGAUAACUUCGGGAAACCGUAGCUAAUCCCGGAUAAUAUUUUGAACCGCAUUGUUCAAAAGUGAAAGACGGUCUUGCUGUCACUUAUAGAUGGAUCCGCGCUGCAUUAGCUAGUUGGUAAGGUAACGGCCUACCAAGGCAACGAUGCAUAGCCGACCUGAGAGGGUGAUCGGCCACACUGGAACUGAGACACGGUCCAGACUCCUACGGGAGGCAGCAGUAGCGGAUCUUCGGCAAUGGGCGAAAGCAUGACGGAGCAACACCGCGUGAGUGAUGAAGGUCUUCGGAUCGUAAAACUCUGUUAUUAGGGAAGAACAUAUGUGUAAGUAACUGUGCACAUCUUGACGGUACCUAAUCAGAAAGCCACGGCUAACUACGUG